UUGUAGUCUGCAACCCGACUACAUGAAGCUGGAAUCGCUAGUAAUCGCGGAUCAGAAUGCCGCGGUGAAUACGUUCCCGGGUCUUGUACACACCGCCCGUCACACCAUGGGAGUCGGAAAUGCCCGAAGUCUGUGACCCAACCUUAGGGGAGGGAGCAGCCGAAGGCAGGUCGGAUGACUGGGGUGAAGUCGUAACAAGGUAUC
rnacentral:rRNA from 1 species